GUGCUAAUACAUGCAAGUCGAGCGAACAGAUGAGGAGCUUGCUCCUUUGACGUUAGCGGCGGACGGGUUGAGUAACACGUGGGUAACCUACCUAUAAGACUGGAAUAACUCCGGGAAACCGGGGCUAAUGCCGGAUAACAUGUUGAACCGCAUGGUUCAACAGUGAAAGACGGUCUUGCUGUCACUUAUAGAUGGACCCGCGCCGUAUUAGCUAGUUGGUAAGGUAACGGCUUACCAAGGCGACGAUACGUAGCCGACCUGAGAGGGUGAUCGGCCACACUGGAACUGAGACACGGUCCAGACUCCUACGGGAGGCAGCAGUAGGGAAUCUUCCGCAAUGGGCGAAAGCCUGACGGAGCAACGCCGCGUGAGUGAUGAAGGUCUUCGGAUCGUAAAGCUCUGUUGUUAGGGAAGAACAUAUGUGUAAGUAACUGUGCACAUCUUGACGGUACCUAACCAGAAAGCCACGGCUAACUACGUGCCAGCAGCCGCGGUAAUACGUAGGUGGCAAGCGUUAUCCGGAAUUAUUGGGCGUAAAGCGCGCGUAGGCGGUUUUUUAAGUCUGAUGUGAAAGCCCACGGCUCAACCGUGGAGGGUCAUUGGAAACUGGAAAACUUGAGUGCAGAAGAGGAAAGUGGAAUUCCAUGUGUAGCGGUGAAAUGCGCAGAGAUAUGGAGGAACACCAGUGGCGAAGGCGGCUUUCUGGUCUGUAACUGACGCUGAGGUGCGAAAGCGUGGGGAUCAAACAGGAUUAGAUACCCUGGUAGUCCACGCCGUAAACGAUGAGUGCUAAGUGUUAGGGGGUUUCCGCCCCUUAGUGCUGCAGCUAACGCAUUAAGCACUCCGCCUGGGGAGUACGGUCGCAAGACUGAGACUCAAAGGAAUUGACGGGGACCCGCACAAGCGGUGGAGCAGGUGGUUAAAUUCGAAGCAACGCGAAGAACCUUACCAAAAUCUUGACAUCUUUUGAUCGUUCUAGAGAUAGAGUUUUCCUCUUCGGAGGACAAAAUGACAGGUGGUGCAUGGUUGUCGUCAGCUCGUGUCGUGAGAUGUUGGGUUAAGUCCCGCAACGAGCGCAACCCUUAAGCUUAGUUGCCAUCAUUAAGUUGGGCACUCUAAGUUGACUGCCGGUGACAAACCGGAGGAAGGUGGGGAUGACGUCAAAUCAUCAUGCCCCUUAUGAUUUGGGCUACACACGUGCUACAAUGGACAAUACAAAGGGCAGCAAAACCGCGAGGUCAAGCAAAUCCCAUAAAGUUGUUCUCAGUUCGGAUUGUAGUCUGCAACUCGACUACAUGAAGCUGGAAUCGCUAGUAAUCGUAGAUCAGCAUGCUACGGUGAAUACGUUCCCGGGUCUUGUACACACCGCCCGUCACACCACGAGAGUUUGUAACACCCGAAGCCGGUGGAGUAACCAUUUGGAGCUAGCCGUCGAAGGUGGACAAUAGG
rnacentral:rRNA from 1 species